GAGAGUAAAACAGUACGUGAAAUUGUUGAAAGGGAAACGCUUGAAGUCAGUCGUGCCGGCGUUGGAUUCAGCUUGCUUCGCGGAGCAGGCGUAUUUCCAUGCAUGGCAGGUCAGCGUCAGUUUUGCGCGGCGUGAAAAGGCUCGGGUAAGGUAGCUCUCUUCGGGGAGUGUUAUAGACCUGGGCAGAUGCGCUGCGCGGGACUGAGGAUUGCAGCGGACACCUCUUCGGGGGCGCGGCGACCGAACCCUGCUCGGCCACCCGAGUUCGAUAGCGUGCUAACGGACGCGGGAGCGGCAGUGCACCGGAACAGGCAAGCCAGCGGUUCGCUUAGGAUGCUGACGUAAUGGCUUUAAACGA
rnacentral:rRNA from 1 species